UGGAGCUGUGAAUUGGUCCAAACAUUUUGGAAAUCUGUAUGUGACCGUAUAGUAAGUUACAAUAUUGUUCCUAUCCUUUGAUCCAGAAAUCCUAAGGUUUAUAACCUAAGGAAGUUAUUGGACCAGGCGAGCCAGGGUGUUUCCUUUGAUUGCCUGCCUGUGUCUUUAAAACUGCCCAGACUGAGCUGUUAGCUCUCUUUUUUGGCAGCUGUUAACUGCUGUGUCCAGAGGGUGAAGAUCCCAGUUUACCCAAAGGCAGGAUGCCAUGAACUGAACUGGGGAGGGGGACAGGACUUGCUUUCCCUGCUCUCCUUUUACCCCUGGCUCUGAGAAAUGGGCCUGGGGUUGCUUGUUUCUGUUCUCUGGUGUUUGUCUUCCUCAGUUUCAGGUGCCAGAGGUGAUUCCCGGGGGACCAGGAGUUCAAGCCAUAGAGACGCUGGUGCCAGGACUGCAGCCAGCCAUCCCCGUACUAAAGUCUGGAGAAGCCAGGGUGCCUGCAACUUGAGCCCCAGGGGGGUUCUGGACUUGGAACUGGAACCACACUCUCUGGGAACUGAGCUAAGCUAGGAAACCUAAUCUUCUUCCCUUUCCCAGAGACUGACGUGGUAAAAAGGGGUGGGGAUUGUGCCUCCCUGGGCUAAGGGUGGUGAUGACGAACUCAUUUAACCUGAACAAUUGUGAAAGCAUAGAAUGUCUCAGACUGUUACACGUUUCUCAAGGUCUUUCUUCUAGGACCACAAGAUCACAGGUUUACAGCUCGAAGGAACUUCGGAGAUUGUCCCAUUUGGUCCCUUUAUUUUACAGAUAAGGACGUUGAAUCCUAGAGAGAUUAAAUGACUAGCUACAUCAAGGUCAUACUGGUAGGCAGUGGCAUAACUGGGCAAAUCCAAUACUCUUUCCCUUGCAUCACAAUGUCUCCUAAUUGGUAUUAAUUUUGAUUCUUGUUCUAAGAACUUGAUGGUUUGACUAUACUCAUAAAGCUGUUUGACUCUCACAUUGGUAACCAGUGGUCGACAAUUUUUUUGGUGAUUUUAUUUGUUGUUUAUCACAUCUAGUGUUUCCUGACUCUUUUUUUUAAGAAGAUGUAUAUCCUAUAUAGCCACAAGCUUCUGUACAUUCUAACAAGCCUUUAGCCUCUCUAUUUGUUACUCCUGAAGCAUGUUUUCCAAUAUAUUUUUUUUACAUUCUCUCCUAUGCACAACUUUUCUUGGAAGUUAGUGAAUAUCAAAAUACAUGUUGAUUUAAAUUGGAGGGUCUAACUGAGUUUUUCACAGAUUUUCUCUACCUCCUCAGUCUGCAACAGAUAUUGGUACAUAAUCUACAUUUAGAUUCACGGUAGUGUUUUUACAAAUUAUAUUAUGAAUACUAAAAUAUUAGUGACUAUCUCAUGAUAUGAUACUUAUUGUUGCC